GACAGAGGGUGCAAACGUUGUUCGGAAUUACUGGGCGUAAAGCGCGUGUAGGCGGUUUAGCAGGUCGGAUGUGAAAGCCCUUGGCUCAACCAAGGAAGUGCAUACGAAACCGCUAGGCUGGAGUCCCGGAGAGGAAGGUGGAAUUCUCGGUGUAGAGGUGAAAUUCGUAGAUAUCGAGAGGAACACCAGUGGCGAAAGCGACCUUCUGGACGAGGACUGACGCUGAGACGCGAAAGCGUGGGGAGCAAACAGG
rnacentral:rRNA from 1 species